rnacentral:rRNA from 1 species
UGCCAGCCGCCGCGGUAAUACGGAGGGGGCAAGCGUUGUUCGGAAUUACUGGGCGUAAAGGGCGUGUAGGCGGCGGUUUUAGUCAGGCGUGAAAGCCCGAGGCUCAACCUCGGAAUAGCGCUUGAUACUGAACUGCUUGAGACCGGAAGAGGGUAGUGGAAUUCCCAGUGUAGAGGUGAAAUUCGUAGAUAUUGGGAAGAACACCAAUUGCGAAGGCAGCUGACUAGACCUACAUUGACGCUGAGGCACGAAAGCGUGGGGAGCGAACAGGAUUAGAUA